rnacentral:rRNA from 1 species
AUUGAACGCUGGCGGCGUGCCUAACACAUGCAAGUCGAGCGAUUCUCUUCGGAGAAGAGCGGCGGACGGGUGAGUAACGCGUGGGUAACCUGCCCUGUACACACGGAUAACAUACCGAAAGGUAUGCUAAUACGAGAUAAUAUACUUUUAUCGCAUGGUAGAAGUAUCAAAGCUUUUGCGGUACAGGAUGGACCCGCGUCUGAUUAGCUAGUUGGUAAGGUAACGGCUUACCAAGGCGACGAUCAGUAGCCGACCUGAGAGGGUGAUCGGCCACAUUGGAACUGAGACACGGUCCAAACUCCUACGGGAGGCAGCAGUGGGGAAUAUUGCACAAUGGGCGAAAGCCUGAUGCAGCAACGCCGCGUGAGCGAUGAAGGCCUUCGGGUCGUAAAGCUCUGUCCUCAAGGAAGAUAAUGACGGUACUUGAGGAGGAAGCCCCGGCUAACUACGUGCCAGCCGCCGCGGUAAUAC